UCGCUCCUCCGAGUCCAGAAGCCCUUGAGCUAUCAGCUCCUCCUUGAUCCGCGCCUCCAGGGAACGUGUGUGAGGAACACUGGGAGCAAAGAAACCGGCAGGAAACUGUCACUACCAGGGGGUUUUAAGAAAAAUCCUCUAAGCUUUAGGAGUCACAUGAAUCAUCAGAGUAGAAAACCUGGAUCUGACCUCUACAAGGGCCUGAAGCAGACGCUGAGUGAGCGGACCAAAGGGACAACCGUCUUCUGGUGAUUCGUGCUGAGAUUCGGAUUUCUUCAGCACAUCCAGUUCUGACAGCGGCCCUCCCAUGAUGCUCUUCUUCUUGUCGUUGGCUCGUGCCCCUUCCCUCUGCUCCUCCAGCAGGUCUUCUUGAGCCCACCGCUGGGAAUAGUGUUUCCCCAACGCAGGAAUCUACA